AUUGUUGCCAGAAACUUUCUUCUGGCUUCACGGAAGUAUAGAUAGGCAGAUGUCUGUUUUUAGUAGUAGAGAUAUUUCUGUCACCACUGCCAGCUUGCAGUUUUUGUGGAAGUCUAACUUGACCAGCUCAGUACCUUUGACUUCUCAAAGUUACGAACAUCGUAACAAGCGUGUCUAAAACCUCUGUGCAAACUCAAACUAUUAGCUGGGAUAGGACUUCAGCAACCUCGUGGCAGUAGAGUUCAUCAUGACAGCAGUUCCAGAAUACUGCACCCUGUUCGAUUGCCUUCAAGACCAGUCACUGCUAGAGGGGAUUCGAGAGAUUCUUGCUGUCCAGGAGCCACCCCUACCUGACGACAGUACAUCUAAUAAUGAAGAUGUGGGGGACUUUCUCUGGGAAAAGAGUCAUUUGGAUGAAAAGAAGGCAGAGGGUGUUCCUGUUGGGGAGGUCUCAGACAGGAUGUUUUGUUCAGCCUGCCAGUGCCCCUUUGACAGCCGUGAAGAGCAGACAGAGCACUACAAACUGGACUGGCACCGCUUCAACCUGAGACAGAGGCUGGUGGGGCGAAGCCCGGCCACGGCUGAGGAGUUUGAGAGGAAGACGGGAGCAGGUGAUAUGUCCAGCAUCUCAGGCUCAGACUCCGAGGACACGGAUUCGGGCAGCGAUCGGUGUUCCCAUGGUGUUGAGGACCCGGCCUCUGGUGGGACUGAGAGCCCUGUUAAAAUGGAGGAGCCCCUCAGCCGCCUGAGCCCCAGGGUGGUCUUCCAGAAUGCUCAGGGAAAGUUCCUGUCUGUGUAUCGCUGUGUCCUGCAGAAUAAGAAGAUGGAGGAGGUGGAGGACCUGGUUCCUACCCUGCUGAGUUUCAGUAACAAGUCUGUGUGGGUCGUUUUGAUGACUGGAGGGGGACACUUUGCAGGAGCGGUUUUUCAGGGGAAAGAGGUCCUGCAGCACAAGACGUUUCACCGGUACACGGUGCGGGCCAAGCGGGGCACGGCUCAGGGGCUGCGGGACUCCCAGAGCCGCGGCAACGCGCCCAAGUCUGCCGGCGCGACGCUGCGGCGCUACAAUGAGGCUAUGCUGGUUAAGGAUGUGCAGGACCUGCUGGAGAGUUGGUCCGAGCACCUGAAGGAGGCGAGUGUGAUCUUCCUCCGCGCCCCCAGCUACAACCGCAGCAUCUUCUUCGGGGGGCGGGCGGCCCCCCUCGACAAGAACGACCCCCGCGUUCGCACCUUGCCUUUCGCCACCCGCCGGGCCACUUUUCGGGAGGUCGUAAGGGUGCACGCGACCCUCUCCACACUACACAUCUACGGGAAAGACACUGAUGUCUCCAGCAUCUUCUGCCCUUCAAAGAAAGCAUGGAGAAAGAAGCCCAGUAGACCAGAAGGAGCAGCAGACACCAGCCCUGCUCCUGUAACUGCGCCCCCUGUGGCAGCGGAGGAGGGAGAGCCGCAGGAGGACGGGAGCACAGACGAGGGGGACGUGGAGCUGGUGGAGGUCGAGGUGACUCUGGACACUCUGGAGCUCCGCGAGUUCGAGGUCCACCCCAGCAGGAGGCGCCGGAGGAAGAAAAAAGAGGGACACAGAGGGGCGGAAGUACCCAUAGAGCCGGAGGAGCCGAGGGAGGGCGCGGACCAGAACGGGGCGGGGCACGCGGACGAGGAGGAGAGGCGCGCGAAGCGGAGGCCCAGGAGGGCCAAAAAGACGCAGCGCGCGGAGGAAGACGCGGGCGCGGACCGCGGGGAGUACGGCCUGCUGGACGCCGUCUACACUGCCUGCAAGACGGGGCAGCUGGACGCCCUGCGCGGCCUCCUGCGGCCGCCGGGCCGCGGGGACGAGGAGGGGCGCGACGGCGAAGACCGGGGGCGUCCGCCUUCCCCCGCCUUCCUGAACCGGGAGAUGGACUCCUCCGGGUUCACCCUCCUGCAUGUGGCUUCGGCCGCGGCUCAGCGGGGCGUGGUCAGGCUGCUGAUGGACGCAGGCUGUGACCCAGCGUGCAGAGCUGUUAAGGGACAGACGCCCUACGCCGUGGCACCUGACAAGGACACCAGGAACGUCUUCCGCAAGUACAUGGCUGAGCACCCCGAUAAGUACGACUACAGCAAAACGCAGAUCCCGGGGCCGCUGACGGAGGAGAUCGAGCUGAAGAAGGCCGAGAAGAGGCGCGCGCAAAAGGUCGCCAGAAAGCAGCGAGAGAAGGAGCAGAAAGAGGAGAGGCAGAAGCAGGAGGCGGAGCUGGAGGAGCAGAGGAAGUUCACGUCUCUCAGCGACAGGGAAAAGAGGGCCCUGGCUGCAGAGAAGAGAUUGGCACAGCAGAUGGUCUCCACCGGGACCGAGUUCACCAACACCAGGUAAUGCUCCACCGGGACAGGGUUCACCAACACCAGGUAAUGCUCCACCGGGACAGGGUUCACCAACACCAGGUACUACUACACAAGGACAGAGUUCACCAACACCAGGUAAUGCUCCACCGGGACAGGGUUCACCAACACCAGGUAAUGCUCCACCGGACAGGAGUUCACCAACACCAGGCGGUGCUGGCAGUGUGGAGAGUCUCUGCUGGGGAAGAUCCCCUUCGAGUACCUGCACUUCUCUUUCUGCACACCCCGCUGUGUCCAGCUGCACCGCAAGGCCAAGGCCUCCGACACCAAGCCGUGACCUUUGACCUCUCACGUCCUGCCGUGACCUCUCAUAUCUGAACCUCACCAGAUGUAGAGCAGUCUGGUUAGGAGAGAGGCCUGUUGCUACUGCCACUGCCUCACCUCCUGCCUGUUGCCCUCUAUGGACAGUUAAUCUGGAUGAGCAUUACCGCCUGUAAUACUCAGGGAAAUGUAGUUUCCUGACUUAAUAAUGUUAUGUUUAAUUUAACAUUUCAGUAUGAUUUUGUACAUGCAGGGUCUUCUGGCCUCAUGCAUGUUGCAUUUCACAUGAUACUGUGUUGUGUCAUGACCAGCUGUAUUAUAAUGUUUACAGCAAUAGAAUAAUUGCAGGAAUGCAUGCAAUUAUAAUAAUUAUUAAUUAUUAUUAUAAUUAAUUGUAAUAUUUAUUCAUAUAAAAAAUAGUAAUUACCAGUGUCCACUUACAUGUUGACCUUGUAAUCUGAAUGCUUUUAGUUGAUUGCAGCACUUGGAAAUAAUGGAAAACCAUUUAAUGUGCACAAACCACAUAAUGUUUUGCAGUUUUGUGUAAUUGCCACUUCAUUUGAUUUAAAACCCCACAUGAAUAUUUGUACAAUCAGAAAUGAUUACCAUUUUGAAUUAAAUGUUUUACAAGUACCAAUUAAAGAUUGAAUAUGGCCUGGGUUGCUGCACAGCUCAUUUGGUUAAGGCACUACACUGUGGUGCAUGGAUGAGUCUUGCAGCCUCUGGACCAUGCCAGUGCUGACUGUGGCUGGUGGCUUCAUAGGGUGACAUGCAAUUGGCGAUGAGCUCCGUGUUCAUUGCUAUCUAGCGACCCCCGCUGGUUGAUCGGGCGCCUGUAGAUUGCAGUCAAAGCAGUGAACAGGUCUUCCUCUGACUCCGCCCUGUGCGAGCUCAACUGUAGUCUGCUGUGUGUAAGUAAGCAGCUGGUGACACUACGUGUUUCUGAGGAGAGCCGUGGAUGUCUGCACUCUCACAAAUAGUGUUACAGUUUGUAGUUCCAAAACCCGGAAGGGAGUUCGCAUAUUUCAGCCAUGGGAUCCCUUCGCAGAUUUCCAAUGCUUUUUUCCCCCUGGGGAUUUAGAUUUCUGUGGAAAAUAAGGUCUGUGGUUAACGUAAGCCCAAGAGAGUUUCAUAUUUUGUACUAGGAGAUAAAUUACACCCCUUAAUAUCUCAACUGUGAAUUUCGAAGCCAUUAUGUGUUUUAAAAGUUAAGUUGCUAUCAAGCAACCUGCUUUUUGAAAGCACAUAAUGGUGGAGGAAUGUGUAUAGUUUAAGGGUUUAGGAACUGGGUGUGUAACUAAAAGCUUGCAGGUUUGAGUCCCAGCCCAGGCACAGCUGCUGUACCCUUGAGCAAGCACUUUAUCUGAAUUGCUUCAGUAAAAUAUCCUGGUGUAUAAAUGGAUUGUUCGAAAAACUAAUCUGUGUAAGCAACUCUACUAAAGUGUCUACUAAAGUCUACUAAGGCUCACCUCUCAGACAGAACUAGGUCUGUGAUGUAGCACUGUGUGGCCUGUAGGGGGCAAAAGUGACCAGUCUGUAGGCGAGGCAUGAAAUCAGAGCGCAUGUCCUUCAGUCACUGUGCUCUGACUGUGGAGGUGCAGGUGGCAGAACUUCAGAGGAACAUUUCAGCACCUGGUUAUUUUGUAUUUCAUGCAUGUCAUCUUAAAAUAAGUGGACGUGGAGCAUCACGGUUCGGUAUAGUGCAUUUUAAUGUAAGGCAUGAAAAGUUACAAUAUGAACAAAUUCUGCAUUUGCUUGGGCAGCAAACCUCUGAACCACACCAACUCUCUGGCUUUAUUUGAUCACAUCUCAACACAGGUCCUAUGAGUGGAGGCUUUUCUUUUCCUAAGCUAUCAACUGAAAACCAGACGUCCUUCCUUCACCUCUUUCACACUGAAACGUUUGAAAGCUGGAACUGUACAUCAUAGCGCAGGAACUGUUGCAGUGGAGAUAGUGAGAGACAGAUUCCCAUUGCUUAAACGGAAGCAGGAUAUUAUGGUACUAUUGCAUACGGUAGAGUGACAUCACAACAUUUCCAUUGGUCUGAAUUUAUGCACCUUUAGACUGCUGAUUUCCAAUAUUGUGGGACUUAAUGGAAAUGAGCACUGUGCAUAUAAAACAUUCAAGUUAUUUCAGCCAAGUUAGCAAUAAAAAUGUACUGCAAGGAAAUGGACAGUUUUAAUAUGCAAUGUUAAGUACCCUGGUCCUUGGUUAUGUAAAAAAAAAAAAAAAAAAUUAUGACCAAGUAAUUGUCAUGACUGAAUACACUGUGUGAAGCUUGAGCAAAUCAUGACACCACUUUUCAUAAAAAAAGAAAUGAAUAAAUCAUCAGUCAGUAAAAAAGUUGUUAUAGUUCUAGUGUAUGUUUUUGAUUGGCCCAAAGGUUUUUGUGUGUGUUAAAGGAUAUUUUAGACGCAGAAAUUUCUGUGUCUAAUCAUAGGGGCAUUGACAAUGUAACUCAAAAGUAACUCCAGAACAGCUUGUGCAGUGACAUUGUUUCCAAAGGCUCUACAUACGAACACAUACUUUUUAUAGCAUUUAUUCACAAGUGUAAACAUAAAAAUGUUUCUAUUUCGUGUCAGUAUUUCUCAGUUUGUAAGCUGUGUAUGCUCUUGCCUUUGUUCUUGCAUGCCUGACAUUAGCAAAGCUUCUUACAAAUAGAAACCGAAGCUACUAUUCUCAGAAUAUGAAACGGAAGAUAGUUUCAGUUACAUUUCUGAAAGUUAUUUGCGCCUGAAUUUACGGAUGAGGAGUUUCAACUGACAGGCUGAGAGGUCAAAGAGGACAGCUGAACCGGCAUGCAGACAUCCAGAGGACAUCGAGCCCCAAUUUCAAUAAAUCUGGGUUGUCUUAAGAUAGCUGGUGAAAGUGACUCAAUGUUUUUGUCAGUUUUGCCCCGUAAGUUGGAAUUGCACUAGCAAUAACCCUUUUCGGUUCUGUUCAUUUGCUGUUGCUUUGAGGGGCUUCUCUCGCGGGUAGUACCGUUGAUACAGGAAGCCGGGCCACGCCUUUCCUUGAGCGUCACGGUCUAUGGCUGCAUGCUUCAUCAGAGACAGUUUCAAAUGAAGAUAGGAACAAAAGUAAUAUA